UGCAGAAAACACCUUUGAGUAUAUGGAUUUCUUCAUAUUUCUAGUUAUUUCCUUAAGGUAGGUUCCCAGGUAUGAUUUUUGAGUCAAAGGAUAUGAGAGUUUUUUAAUCUUGAAAUGUGGUUAAAUUGCUUCUCAAAAGGAUAGUAUUACUAGUACUGUUUCACUGUAUUCUUUUAGAUUGGGUAUUAGUGCUGUUUUCUCCUUCCCCCAACUUACUAGGCGAGAAAGGUACUUCACUGUUGUGGUUUUAGAGUGCAUUUCUUUAUGUAACAGUUUUUUCAUGAAGAGUAAAAUUGAUUAUAAUGUCCUAAGACAUGAACUUUAAAAAAUGUGAUAUUACUU
rnacentral:lncRNA from 1 species